rnacentral:misc_RNA from 1 species
UGUGAGAGAAGGUGUAUGUGCACCAGAUGCAUUUAAUAAUUCCUCAAAUUUGUAUUCAUUUGAAAAUACCGACCCAGCUUUGGUUUAUUGACAAAAGUGUUCUGUUAUACUAUUAUGGCGGCAAGUUAAUGUUGCAAAGUAAGGAACAGAGGUUUUGCUCUUGUUGUCAUUGGAUACGUUGGCCUGGAGAUUUAAGUGGCUACUUGAUGGAAUGUUAAUUUUUCCAUUUUCUACAGAAAAUAAAGAUCUUGAUUUAGCUGAUAUGAACUAUAGUAGGUCAUUAUCAUCAUACAAGUUACCUAUAAGACUCAUAAAAAGAACACACUUAGUACACGUUUGGCGAAGUGCUUUUCAAAUUCAA